rnacentral:ncRNA from 2 species
CUUGGUCAUUUAGAGGAAGUAAAAGUCGUAACAAGGUUUCCGUAGGUGAACCUGCGGAAGGAUCAUUAGUGAACGCCCUCACGGGCUUAUAACUAUUCCAAACCUCUGUGAACCGUGCCCUUCGGGGCUAUUUUACAAACAUGGUGUAAUGAACGUCAUAUAUCAUAACAAAACAAAACUUUCAACAACGGAUCUCUUGGCUCUCGCAUCGAUGAAGAACGCAGCGAAAUGCGAUAAGUAAUGUGAAUUGCAGAAUUCAGUGAAUCAUCGAAUCUUUGAACGCACCUUGCGCCCUCUGGUAUUCCGGAGGGCAUGCCUGUUUGAGUGUCAUGUAGACUCAAUCCCUCGGGUUUCCGAGGAGAUUGGACUUGGGUGUUGCCGCUCUGCCGGCUCGCCUUAAAAGACUUAGCGGGAUAGCACCGUAGUCGGCGUAAUAAGUUUCGUCGGUGAAGGUUGUGAUGACUGCUUACAAUCGCCCUCGGGCAAUUUUUGACUCUGACCUCAAAUCAGGUAGGACUACCCGCUGAACUUAAGCAUAUCAAUAAGCGGAGGA